rnacentral:rRNA from 1 species
GGCAGAGGUUGCAAGCGUUGUUCGGAAUUACUGGGCAUAAAGCGCACGUAGGCGGUCCGCUAAGUCAUGUGUGAAAUCCCCCGGCUCAACCGGGGAAUGGCGCCUGAUACUGGCGGACUCGAGAUCGGUAGGGGUGAGUGGAACUCCAGGUGGAGCGGUGAAAUGCGUAGAUAUCUGGAGGAACACCGGUGGCGAAAGCGACUCACUGGACCGACACUGACGCUGAGGUGCGAAAGCUAGGGUAGCAAACGGG